rnacentral:tRNA from 1 species
AUUUAAAUAGCUUAUAUUAAGAGCAUAAUAUUGAAGAUAUUAAUGAAGUAUUUUUACUUUUAAAUA